UACGGAGGGUGCGAGCGUUGUCCGGAAUCACUGGGCGUAAAGGGCGCGUAGGCGGCGCGGAAAGUCAACGGUGAAAGCUUGGGGCUCAACCCCGAGUCGGCCGUCGAUACUUCCGUGCUCGAGCACUGUAGAGGCAGGUGGAAUUCCGGGUGUAGCGGUGGAAUGCGUAGAGAUCCGGAAGAACACCGGUGGCGAAGGCGACUACCUGGCCUGUUCUUGACGCUGAGGCGCGAAAGCGUGGGGAGCAAACAGG
rnacentral:rRNA from 1 species